GUGCCAGCAGCCGCGGUAAUACGUAGGGGGCAAGCGUUAUCCGGAAUUACUGGGCGUAAAGCGCACGCAGGCGGUUCGCCAAGUUUGGAGUGACAGUUGUCGGCUCAACCGACAAAGGACUUCAAAAACUGGUGAACUUGAGGACGAGAGAGGAACAUGGAACUCCAGGUGUAGUAGUGAAAUGCGUAGAUAUCUGGAAGAACACCAAUGGCGAAGGCAAUGUUCUGGCUCGUUUCUGACGCUCAGGUGCGAAAGCCAGGGGAGCGAACGGGAUUAGAUACCCGCGUAGUCC
rnacentral:rRNA from 1 species